GGAUAGAUAGGGGGUGUUGACGUGUUAUUCUCUUCUCCAGCUCCUCCUUCCGCUGGAGCUGACAGCCCCCAAGUGUUCAUUUUGUGAUUUGUUGCUGCGUCGACAGACCGCAACCAAACUACACAGGCAUUGCCCCUUUCUGUUCUUUGACAUCUGACUGGGGUGUUGGGACUUAGAAGUGAGCUGUGCGGGUCACCAGAGUAGGAUUAGAGUCAAAUAACAAACCCUAAAUUUGGAAAGAGAGCAGCUGCGUGAAGGCAAUUUGGGCAGAUUGACAGUCUGGAGUUGUCUGGAACGGAACCAGCAAUAUCUCCAAGAAAAUGCUGCAGAGAACAUUCUUGUAAA
rnacentral:lncRNA from 1 species